rnacentral:rRNA from 1 species
AGUGGGGAAUCUUGCGCAAUGGCCGAAAGGCUGACGCAGCGACGCCGCGUGGAGGAUGACGCCCUUCGGGGUGUAAACUCCUGUUGCCCGGGACGAACGACCUGUUUCGACAGGUGUGACGGUACCGGGUGAGGAAGCACCGGCUAACUCUGUGCCAGCAGCCGCGGUAAUACAGAGGGUGCGAGCGUUGUCCGGAAUCACUGGGCGUAAAGGGCGCGUAGGCGGCGCGGUAAGCGUGUGGUGAAAGUCCGGGGCUCAACCCCGGAUCGGCCAUGCGAACUGUCGCGCUGGAGCACGGUAGAGGCACAUGGAAUUCCGGGUGUAGCGGUGGAAUGCGUAGAGAUCCGGAAGAACACCGGUGGCGAAGGCGGUGUGCUGGGCCGUAGCUGACGCUGAGGCGCGACAGCGUGGGGAGCAAACAGGAUUAGAUACCCUGGUAGUCCACGCCGUACACGAUGGGCACUAGGUCCUUGGGGGAGCGACCCCGUGAGGGCCGGCGCUAACGCAUUAAGUGCCCCGCCUGGGGAGUACGGCCGC